GGAAGUGAGGGUGAUCCAGACAUGACAUCUGUCAUCCCAUUGAUCUCCGGGGCUGACUGGGCUAAUCUAGUUGGCUAGACAGGUCUCCCCUUCCUCCCUCUCUGUUCCACGUGUGUCUGUCCUGAAGCUGGGGUAUGGGAGUAUCUGUGCUCCCCNGCUAGAACCUCAAGAUGAGUUCCCAGACAAUGCCAUCAAAGGAACAACCCUCACCAANGACCCCAGCAGUGAACCCCACAUACUG
rnacentral:snRNA from 1 species